rnacentral:lncRNA from 1 species
AGGGAAGGGAACCCCUAAGCCACUUUGGGAGCCACAUCCACCACUUCUCUGCCCCUGACCCAGGCUGGUUCCUAGCCCUUAGGGUCCUACUGCGGACCUCCCGGCCAUAAUUAACGCAGGUGCAGGACCAGAGAGCCCCUUGGUCCCUCCCAACACAUGAGGGAACUUUGUGUGGUGAGGUCAGAUUAACUCGAAGUACCCCACAACUACACGCUAAUGAAACUAGAGGAGGCACAGCCUCAGCUCCGUGCAGGAUGGAUGCACAAGAGCAGAAUCUCCAUGGGACGCCUUUCUGGAGCAUCAGUAUUACUGCAGGAUUUGGAAGCAACAAGUUCAAAUAAUUUUCAACGUUAACACACUGGAAAUUUAAGAGAAGUCUGGAAACUCAUCUACCUUUAAAAACUGUCAGUCAUCUGUGCCUAAGUCAGACUUUCUCCAAGAAAAAAAAAAAAAGAAACUCUAAGGAGACCCUAUUUUUUAUUCUUCUAAGUAGUUAAAAUUAGAAAUCACAGCAAGUCAACAGGAAGCUCUCCUCUGCCAGUCUCCUAAAUCACAAUAUGGCCUUGUCGUGGCUGGAGUAUUUCAAAGGCUCAGUCCCACUCCAGAAUCGGCCCUGUCGCCUCCGCCCGCACUCCAGAGCCGGCUGAGAACCGCAGCGGCGCGGGAUCCACGUGCAGCGUCUCUCCAGGUCAAAGCUACCUAGAUGUCAUCAUACAAAUUACAGGCUAUGACGUCCACCUCAUUCUCUUUCUGGAAGGCUGACCUUAACUGUCCUGCACAUUCCUUACACAGCAUAUUUGCCCUUUUCCUAU